CUUCCUGUAGACAGAGGAUAAAGGGAGUGGGUGUGGAGGCUCUUGUUCCUCUUUUGGCAUGAUGUAGCAUCAGCAGUGAUGGUGGAAGUUGUCUACAUAUCCUAAAUCAUUGAGAGAUGAGAGAUGUAAAGCUAAGUUUCACUGACCAGUUAGAAGUACAUGUGGGUCAAAUCUCAGCGCCUAUCAAUUCUGAACCUCCUUGGAGUUCCACCACCAGCAACCUUCCCCCUGGCCUGGAAGGAGAGAACAACAUUUAUAGGUUUUCUUUGCCAAAGACGCUGGAGUAGUUUGCCAUUUCCUUCUCCAGUUCAUUUUACAACUGAGAAAACUGGGGCAAACAGGGGUCAGUGACUUGUUCAGGGUCACACAGCUAGUGUCUGAGGCCAAAUUUGAAUUCAGGAAGAUGACUCAAGGGUGGGUACCCUAUCCACUAACUAUACCACCUACCUGCCUAGUGUUUCCAUUCUGAGGGGUUAUUUAAAUGUGCAAAAAACUUGUAAUGAUUAAUAAUAAACGUGA